UCCUCUAGCGCGCUUCCCCUCCAUUUGUC
rnacentral:sRNA from 1 species